rnacentral:rRNA from 1 species
AGGAUAAACGCUGGCGGCGUGCCUAACGCAUGCAAGUCGAACGAGGCCUUCGGGUCUAGUGGCGGACGGGUGAGUAACACGUAGGAACCUGCCCGGAAGUGGGGGACAACUCCGCGAAAGCGGGGCUAAUACCGCAUACGGUCUACGGACCAAAGCCUUCGGGCGCUUUCGGAGGGGCCUGCGGCGGAUUAGCUAGUUGGUGGGGUAACGGCCUACCAAGGCGACGAUCCGUAGCUGGUCUGAGAGGAUGAUCAGCCACACUGGGACUGAGACACGGCCCAGACUCCUACGGGAGGCAGCAGCGAGGAAUUUUCCGCAAUGGGCGAAAGCCUGACGGAGCGACGCCGCGUGGGGGAAGAAGGCCUUCGGGUUGUAAACCCCUGUUGCGAGGGAAGAAGAUCUGACGGUACCUCGCGAGGAAGCCACGGCUAACUACGUGCCAGCAGCCGC